rnacentral:ncRNA from 1 species
ACAAUAAUGAAUUUGAUUCUGGUUCAGAUUGAACGUUAUUAAAAUAUAUAUGAUAUGCAAAUUUAACUUUUUUAAAGUAGUGAAGUUGGGAGUAAUGAAAAAGAAAGUGAUCCUAAAUUUGGUUUAAAAACCUAUUGUAAAAAUUAACUUUGUUUAGUAAAACGCUUUUUUAAGAUUAGAUUUAGUAAGCCUAAAAUUUAUUAUUUCAAAGAUCUUUAACAAUUUUUAACGAAAACUUUGUCCCGUUGGCUUUGAAAUAACAGCUAAAUUUUUAAAAAUCGCAGUCAAGAAUAUUGAACAAUUAAGGAAACUUAGAUUCAGUAAUUUUAAAUGAAAAACUUUUUAUAAAAGUUAGUAACUUUACUUUAAAUUUCGAAAACUUAAACAAAUAAUGAUUGUUUAAGCAAAAAUUCUGACAAAUUUUCGUGCCAGAUGUCUCGGUAAAACGUAUAGAAUAAACGUUAAUCAAAAAUACUUGGCGUAAAAUGCUAAAAGAUUGCGAUUUAAUUAAAAAAAAGAACCAAUUGAUAAUAUUGUUAUAUUUUUUUACGAAUUAAUCGCUAGAGUUAUUGUUAAGAAAAUGGAAUAAACUUAGUAAAGAUAAAAUUUUUUUAUAAAGUUUGGAACAUCAAAUGCUAAAGCAAUUUUCUAACAAUUGAAAUGUAACUAUCGUUACUAAUAACUGACUUUUUUAAUUGCUAAAGUUUGGGUAGCAAAAGGAAUUAGAGACUCCUGUAGUUCAAACCUUCACCGAUGAAAUUUUUUUUUUUAACGAAAAAUAGUUAACACAAAAUUUUCUGCCUGAACAGUACGGUCGCAAGGCUGAAAUUUAAAGAAUUAGAUGAGAAAAAAUAUAAUUCGUGGAUUAUGUUACUUAAUUCGAAACAACGCGCGAAUCUUACCAAUGUUUGCAUAAAAAUAAGUUUUACACUAUUUAGUGUUUAGAAAAUCCUUUUUUCAUAUUUUUCAUUUUUACAAAUGUUGCAUGGUUGUCGUCAGUUCGUGUUGCAAAAUGUACGAUUAAUUUCGUAAACGAGCGAAACUUAUUUUUUUAAUUAUUACACAGUUUGAAUUUAAAAUUCUUGUUCUAAAAAAUUAAAAAAAUCACUUAUUGAAAAUAAGAUGAAAAAGUAAAUGACGUCUAAAUCUUUAUGACUUUUAUGCGUUGGGCUGUAAAUGUAAUACAAUAAAAAUUACAAAAAGAAGUUAUUUUUGUAAAAAUUAACAAACCUUUAAAAGUUUUUCCAGUCCGGAUUAAAUUUUGAAACUUAAAUUUAUGAAGUAGGAAUGAAUAGUAAUGAUUUUUAAGCAUUAAAAUCGUGAAUUAAAAUAAAUUUUUUUUUUACUUAUCGCCCAUCAUCUCAUGAAAGAGAAUUUAGCUAAAAUUUUAUUAAUUUAUAUUUUUCAAUUUUAUAAACAAAUUAAAUUUAUUUUGAUUUUUAUAUAAAAUGCUAAAUGUAAAUUAUUUAGAAAAAGGUAAGGUUCUUAAUUGUGAGCAAGUUGUAACAAAGUAGCCGUUGAUGAAUCAGUGGCUGGAAUUAGAAAAAAA